rnacentral:rRNA from 1 species
UGAGGAAUAUUGGACAAUGGGCGCAAGCCUGAUCCAGCCAUGCCGCGUGCAGGAUGACGGUCCUAUGGAUUGUAAACUGCUUUUGCACAGGAAGAAACAACAUUGCGUGUAAUGUCUUGACGGUACUGUGAGAAUAAGGAUCGGCCAACCCCGUGCCAGCAGCCGCGGUAAUACGGAGGAUCCAAGCGUUAUCCGGAAUCAUUGGGUUUAAAGGGUCCGUAGGCGGUUUAGUAAGUCAGUGGUGAAAGCCCAUCGCUCAACGGUGGAACGGCCAUUGAUACUGCUAGACUUGAAUUAUUAGGAAGUAACUAGAAUAUGUAGUGUAGCGGUGAAAAUGCUUAGAGAUUUACAUGGAAUACCAAUUGCGAAGGCAGGUUACUACUAAUGGAUUGACGCUGAUGGACGAAAGCGUGGGUAGCGAACAGGAUUAGAUACCCUGGUAGUCCACGCCGUAAAACGAUGGAUACUAGCUGUUGGGAGCAAUCUCAGUGGCUAAGCGAAAGUGAUAAGUAUCCCACCUGGGGAGUACGUUCGCAAGAAUGAAACUCAAAGGAAUUGACGGGGUCAUAGCUGUUUCC